rnacentral:rRNA from 1 species
UACGUAGGUGACAAGCGUUGUCCGGAUUUACUGGGCGUAAAGAGCGCGCAGGCGGUCGAUCAAGUCGAGUGUGAAAGCCCCCGGCUCAACUGGGGAGGGUCAUUCGAUACUGAUCGACUCGAAGGCAGGAGAGGGUAGUGGAAUUCCCGGUGUAGUGGUGAAAUGCGUAGAUAUCAGGAGGAACACCGGUGGCGAAAGCGCUCGUCUGGCCCAAUACUGACGCUGAUGCGCGAAAGCUAGGGGAGCAAACAGG